rnacentral:rRNA from 1 species
AUACGGGGCUCUUGAGUCUGGUAAUUGGAAUGAGUACAAUCUAAAUCCCUUAACGAGGAUCAAUUGGAGGGCAAGUCUGGUGCCAGCAGCCGCGGUAAUUCCAGCUCCAAUAGCGUAUAUUUAAGUUGUUGCAGUUNAAAAGCUCGUAGUUGGACCUUGGGUUGGGUCGAUCGGUCCGCCUAUGGUGAGCACCGGUCGGCUCGUCCCUUCUGCCGGCGAUGCGCUCCUGGCCUUAAUUGGCCGGGUCGUGCCUCCGGCGCUGUUACUUUGAAGAAAUUAGAGUGCUCAAAGCAAGCCUUCGCUCUGUAUACAUUACGCAUGGGAUAACAUCAUAGGAUUCCGAUCCUAUUGUGUUGGCCUUCGGG